GACGAACGCUGGCGGCGUGCUUAACACAUGCAAGUCGAGCGGUAAGGCCCUUUCGGGGGUACACGAGCGGCGAACGGGUGAGUAACACGUGGGUGACCUGCCCUCAGCUCUGGGAUAAGCCUGGGAAACUGGGUCUAAUACUGGAUAUGACUCCACGGUGCAUGUCGUGGGGUGGAAAGCCUUGUGCGGCUGAGGAUGGGGCCCGCGGCCUAUCAGCUUGUUGGUGGGGUGANGGCCUACCAAGGCGACGACGGGUAGCCGGCCUGAGAGGGCGACCGGCCACACUGGGACUGAGACACGGCCCAGACUCCUACGGGAGGCAGCAGUGGGGAAUAUUGCACAAUGGGCGAAAGCCUGAUGCAGCGACGCCGCGUGAGGGAUGACGGCCUGGU
rnacentral:rRNA from 1 species